rnacentral:rRNA from 1 species
GACGAACGCUGGCGGCGUGCUUAACACAUGCAAGUCGAACGGUAAGGCCCUUCGGGGUACACGAGUGGCGAACGGGUGAGUAACACGUGGGUGAUCUGCCCUGCACUUCGGGAUAAGCCUGGGAAACUAGGUCUAAUACCGUCUAGGACUCCUGGCUUCAUGGUUGGGGGUGGAGAGCUUUUGCGGUGUGGGCUGGGACCGCGGCCUAUCAGCUGGUUGGUGGGGUAUGGCCUACCAAGGCGACGACGGGUAGCCGGCCUGAGAGGGGGACCGGUCACACGGGACCUGCGAUAGGGCCCAGACUCCUACGGGAGGCAGCAGUGGGGAAUAUGGCACAAUGGGCGCAAGCCUGAUGCAUCGACGCCGCGGGAGGGAUGACGGCCUUCGGGUUGUAAACCUCUUUCAGCUAUGACGAAGCGCAAGUGACGGUAGUAGCAGAAGAAGGACCGGCCAACUACGUGCCAGCAGCCGCCGCCGUAA